AAUUCUCUAUGACAAGGAAAGAGGCCAGAAUACUUCUGAACGUGACAGUAAAUAAGGACCUGGAAGUCCUAAAAGGUUUGGUCCUUAAAUGCGGAGCCGACACAUGAAACUCAGGAUGUCUGGUACUCUUAGAGUACGGGAAUAAGAAGUCCCGACGAUCGCACCCUUCCUUAUCGUCACAUAACCUGUGGAAGAGGCACUCCUGGGGCGGACCGUUAGCCAUCAGUCUCUCAGCGACUACUAUUCUGACCCGAAGUCUUUCUACAGCAAAAUUCUGGGUAUCUGAGGCUCCAUCCA